rnacentral:rRNA from 1 species
UACGUAGGGUGCGAGCGUUAAUCGGAAUUACUGGGCGUAAAGUGUGCGCAGGUGGCCGCGCAAGUCGAGUGUGAAAUCCCCGAGCUUAACUUGGGAAUUGCGCUCGAAACUACUUUGCUGGAGUGUGGCAGAGGAAGGUGGAAUUCCACGUGUAGCGGUGAAAUGCGUAGAGAUGUGGAGGAACACCAAUGGCGAAGGCAGCCUUCUGGGCCAACACUGACGCUCAUGCACGAAAGCGUGGGGAGCAAACAGG